rnacentral:rRNA from 1 species
UUAAGCGACUAAGCGUACACGGUGGAUGCCCUGGCAGUCAGAGGCGAUGAAGGACGUGCUAAUCUGCGAAAAGCGUCGGUAAGGUGAUAUGAACCGUUAUAACCGGCGAUGUCCGAAUGGGGAAACCCAGUGCAAUUCGUUGCACUAUCGUUAACUGAAUACAUAGGUUAACGAGGCGAACCGGGGGAACUGAAACAUCUAAGUACCCCGAGGAAAAGAAAUCAACCGAGAUUCCCCCAGUAGCGGCGAGCGAACGGGGAGCAGCCCAGAGUCUGAAUCAGCUUGUGUGUUAGUGGAACGGUCUGGAAAGUCCGACGGUACAGGGUGAUAGUCCCGUACACCAAAAUGCACAGGUUGUGAACUCGAAGAGUAGGGCGGGACACGUGGUAUCCUGUCUGAAUAUGGGGGGACCAUCCUCCAAGGCUAAAUACUCCUGACUGACCGAUAGUGAACCAGUACCGUGAGGGAAAGGCGAAAAGAACCCCGGCGAGGGGAGUGAAAAAGAACCUGAAACCGUGUACGUACAAGCAGUGGGAGCACCUUCGGGUGUGACUGCGUACCUUUUGUAUAAUGGGUCAGCGACUUAUAUUCUGUAGCAAGGUUAACCGUAUAGGGGAGCCGCAGGGAAACCGAGUCUUAACUGGGCGUUAAGUUGCAGGGUAUAGACCCGAAACCCGGUGAUCUAGCCAUGGGCAGGUUGAAGGUUGGGUAACACUAACUGGAGGACCGAACCGACUAAUGUUGAAAAAUUAGCGGAUGACUUGUGGCUGGGGGUGAAAGGCCAAUCAAACCGGGAGAUAGCUGGUUCUCCCCGAAAGCUAUUUAGGUAGCGCCUCGUGAAUUCAUCUUCGGGGGUAGAGCACUGUUUCGGCUAGGGGGUCAUCCCGACUUACCAACCCGAUGCAAACUACGAAUACCGAAGAAUGUUAUCACGGGAGACACACGGCGGGUGCUAACGUCCGUCGUGAAGAGGGAAACAACCCAGACCGCCAGCUAAGGUCCCAAAGUCAUGGUUAAGUGGGAAACGAUGUGGGAAGGCACAGACAGCCAGGAUGUUGGCUUAGAAGCAGCCAUCAUUUAAAGAAAGCGUAAUAGCUCACUGGUCGAGUCGGCCUGCGCGGAAGAUGUAACGGGGCUAAACCAUGCACCGAAGCUGCGGCAGCGACACUAUGUGUUGUUGGGUAGGGGAGCGUUCUGUAAGCCUGCGAAGGUGUGCUGUGAGGCAUGCUGGAGGUAUCAGAAGUGCGAAUGCUGACAUAAGUAACGAUAAAGCGGGUGAAAAGCCCGCUCGCCGGAAGACCAAGGGUUCCUGUCCAACGUUAAUCGGGGCAGGGUGAGUCGACCCCUAAGGCGAGGCCGAAAGGCGUAGUCGAUGGGAAACAGGUUAAUAUUCCUGUACUUGGUGUUACUGCGAAGGGGGGACGGAGAAGGCUAUGUUAGCCGGGCGACGGUUGUCCCGGUUUAAGCAUGUAGGCUGGUUAUCCAGGCAAAUCCGGAUAAUCAAGGCUGAGGUGUGAUGACGAGGCACUACGGUGCUGAAGUAACAAAUGCCCUGCUUCCAGGAAAAGCCUCUAAGCAUCAGGUAACAUUAAAUCGUACCCCAAACCGACACAGGUGGUCAGGUAGAGAAUACCAAGGCGCUUGAGAGAACUCGGGUGAAGGAACUAGGCAAAAUGGUGCCGUAACUUCGGGAGAAGGCACGCUGGUGUGUAGGUGAAGUCCCUGCGGAUGGAGCUGAGACCAGUCGAAGAUACCAGCUGGCUGCAACUGUUUAUUAAAAACACAGCACUGUGCAAACACGAAAGUGGACGUAUACGGUGUGACGCCUGCCCGGUGCCGGAAGGUUAAUUGAUGGGGUUAUCCGUAAGGAGAAGCUCUUGAUCGAAGCCCCGGUAAACGGCGGCCGUAACUAUAACGGUCCUAAGGUAGCGAAAUUCCUUGUCGGGUAAGUUCCGACCUGCACGAAUGGCGUAAUGAUGGCCAGGCUGUCUCCACCCGAGACUCAGUGAAAUUGAACUCGCUGUGAAGAUGCAGUGUACCCGCGGCAAGACGGAAAGACCCCGUGAACCUUUACUAUAGCUUGACACUGAACAUUGAGCCUUGAUGUGUAGGAUAGGUGGGAGGCUUUGAAGCGUGGACGCCAGUCUGCGUGGAGCCAACCUUGAAAUACCACCCUUUAAUGUUUGAUGUUCUAACGUUGGCCCCUUACCGGGGUUGCGGACAGUGUCUGGUGGGUAGUUUGACUGGGGCGGUCUCCUCCCAAAGCGUAACGGAGGAGCACGAAGGUUAGCUAAUCCUGGUCGGACAUCAGGAGGUUAGUGCAAUGGCAUAAGCUAGCUUGACUGCGAGCGUGACGGCGCGAGCAGGUGCGAAAGCAGGUCAUAGUGAUCCGGUGGUUCUGAAUGGAAGGGCCAUCGCUCAACGGAUAAAAGGUACUCCGGGGAUAACAGGCUGAUACCGCCCAAGAGUUCAUAUCGACGGCGGUGUUUGGCACCUCGAUGUCGGCUCAUCACAUCCUGGGGCUGAAGUAGGUCCCAAGGGUAUGGCUGUUCGCCAUUUAAAGUGGUACGCGAGCUGGGUUUAGAACGUCGUGAGACAGUUCGGUCCCUAUCUGCCGUGGGCGCUGGAGAAUUGAGGGGGGCUGCUCCUAGUACGAGAGGACCGGAGUGGACGCAUCACUGGUGUUCGGGUUGUCAUGCCAAUGGCACUGCCCGGUAGCUAAAUGCGGAAGAGAUAAGUGCUGAAAGCAUCUAAGCACGAAACUUGCCCCGAGAUGAGUUCUCCCUGAGACUUUAAGUCUCCUGAAGGAACGUUAAAGACGAUGACGUUGAUAGGCCGGGUGUGUAAGCGCAGCGAUGCGUUGAGCUAACCGGUACUAAUGAACCGUGAGGCUUAACCUU